rnacentral:lncRNA from 1 species
GUGGGCCCAGGGUAAUACUGGUAACAAUGGUUCUUUUAGUGAUUUAGUUACACAGCUCGUUAGCUUGUCUAUGGAUGGUAACAGGGUUGAGAGGCAGAGUGGUUAUGAGCAUGGAUUUGGGAGCCAGACUUAAUAGGAAUUAAAAUCCCAGCUCCACCACUUAUGUGCCAUGUGAUCCUGGACACAACCUCUGGGUAUUUCAGUUUUCUCAUUUGUGAAAAGGGAGACUUAUAUUUUAGGGUUAAAAAGAUUUAAAGGAUUGACUCAGAUUAAGGCAAAGUUAAGGUAAGUAAAACAAUGGGGGAAGCCGCUGUUCAGACAUGGAAUGAAAGGAGAUGGAGAGAUUAGGUUUUCAAAUUUGUAUUUGCGUAAGAAUCAUUUGAGAUUCAUGUUAAAAAUGUCAAUUCCCAGAUCUCAGCCCCAGGAAUUGAGAUUCAGUAGCUCUGGGGCGCAGUAAGCUAUUUUUUUUUAAAAAAAAUAAGCUUUUAAUUUUGGAAUAAUUUUAGAUUUACCAAAAGUUGCCAAAAUCAGUUUCUGUAUGCCCCUUACUCAUUUCCCAACGUUAACAUUUGUUAAAACUAAGCAGUCAAUGUUGGCACAUUACUAUCAACUGCAGACUUCAUCAGAUUUUCCACUAAUGUUCUUUAUCUGUUCCAGGAUCCAGUGCAGGACACCACACUGCCUUUAGAGAAGCUUUGUUUUUCACAGGCACUUUCAGCUGAUGAGAGGCAGGGUCUGGAUGUCGCCCAGGUUGGAGAGCAGUGACAUGAUCAUGGCCCACUGCAGCCUUGACCUCCUGGGCUCUACUGAUCCUCCCACCUUAGCCUCCAGAGUGGCUGGGACUACAGACACAUGCCACCAUAUCCAACUAUUUUUAUUAUUUUUUUUUACAGGCAGGGUCUCACUAUGUUGCCUAGACUGGUCUUGAACUCCUGCACUCAAGCAAUCCUUCCACCUCAGCCUCCCAGGGUACUGAGAUUACAGGCAUGAAUCACUAUGCCCAGCCCAUUUCUUUUGCAUUUAAUUUUGCAUUUUUCUAAGAGAUGGGGUCUUGAUAACGUUGUCCAGGUUGGAGUGUAGUAGCUAUUCCUAUAGGCACCAUCAUGGUACACUGCAGCCUCCAAUACUUGACCUCAAGCAAUCCUCCAGCCUCAGCCUCCCAAGUAGCUGGGACUAUAGGCGUGCACCACCACACCCAGCUUCAUUUUGCAAAUUUUGAAUAUAAAGCUUUUAAUUUUUUGUUUCAGUCAAUGUCUGCUAUCAAGAGUGACCGAAACAAAAAAUUAAAAGCUUAAUAUUCAGGAGACAGGUGCCAGUUGCACUUGUAGUCCCAGCUACUUGUGUGGCUGAGGCUAGAGGAUGGCUUGAGACCAGGAAGUUCUAGGCUGCAGUGAGUGCACAAUGAUUGCACCUGUGAAAAGCCACUGCACUCCAGCCUGGACAACGCAGUAAGACCCCCAUCUCUUUAAAAACAAACAAAACAAAACAAAAAACUUUCAAAUCAUGUUUUUUAAAGGUUUAUAGCAUUUAUACUCAUGCUGCAGUGCCUUGGAGGGCCCAAACUAUAUUCAAGCUUAAAACUGCUUCACUUUUUCUCAUCGUCACUGAACCACCAUGUUGGUUGGCAUUAUGAAAAUAUCUUUUAAUACAUUUAUUUAGCAAGAGAAAAAUUAUCAGAAAAUGAGAAGCACCAUUUAUAGUUCACAAGAAAUGCAACAUGGACUCCAAUAGAAGUAGAUAUCAAUAACUGAUACUUCCUCUGUUUAUGACCCCAAACAUGCUAAAAUGCUAAAGUAAUGCUUGCAAAGAAUAUGAAUGACAAAUGUUAUCCAGCAGCUUUUUGGUUUAAAAUGAUUGCCAAUGACUAGCAGCUUCAAUGGUAACAGUAGGGAGGAAGAACCCUUCAGUACCUAACAACGCUGCUGUCUGCUCCUAAGUGGCUUUAGUUAGAGUCCCAUGUUUUAAUGGUAAUACUGCAUUGAUUUUAAAGGCAUAUGCAGCAAAAUGCGGGGGGAGGGAGAGAAACUGGAAGAAACAUAAAAGUUAUAUGGUUAGUGUCUUUAAAGUCUAAAAAUUUAAACUAUUGUUUAAAAAACCUUACAUAGUUCACAGCUAUCGGCCCACACAGUAAGCAAAUAUCUGUGUGUAGGAUGGGAGCCUUCACUUUGGAGUGGUUUUUGUAACUCUGUUUACAUUAAAAAGGACAGAAGAGUGUUUUGUUGCAUUGACAAGGUCCCAUUCUUUCCUGUGGAGUAUAAUCCUUGUUGUCCAUGAGUCUCUUGAAUUUGAGAUCUUUCCUUUUGAUGAAAACACUAAUUUUGCUGGUUUUUGAGCAGGAAAGGUGGUAUUUCUCCAGUCUUUGUAGAUGAAGGUCCCAUGACGUUAUAACCCCUCAUUUCUCCUUUUAAGAGAGGAUGGCUUUAGAGCGCUGAAUACCAAUGAAGUUAUCAGCACUGAAAGACCUUCU